rnacentral:lncRNA from 1 species
UGGUUAUCUGUGUUACAGGGAGCUGGGAGCAGACAGUAGGCAAGAGUGGAAGAACUCUGUGUAACUUUUUAUUAUAUGCAAAUAAGUUAUUUAAAACACUAAACUAAUAAUUGCCAUUUAACAGUUAAAAGUCUCUUGCUUGCUACAAACGGAUUUCAAGAUCUGGCUUAUUUUGAAGAUCACUGGAUUCAUACUUUUUUGUGCUAAUUGAGGGGGCUCCCUAGACACCCCGUUUUUCUAUUUUUCACUGUGACUUUAUCCCUCUGCCUAGCCUUUUAAACUUCUUACUCCACUGUGUCAGCAAUAACAACAAUAAUAAAUACAGUUAUAAUAAACAUCAUUUUUUGAUCAUUUACCACUUUACAUAUAUUAUCUCAUUUAAUCUUCAAGAGUUCUGUGAGGUAUUAGUUCCAUUUCACAGAGAGGGAUGAAAUCAGCUUGUCCAAAAUUACAAAGCUAGAGAGGAAUAGAGCCUGGAUUCAUUCCAAGGUGUAACCCCAAGUCUCCUAUUCCAGAGUUUCUCAACUUUGUUAAAAUUCGGAAUCCUAUGCUUUGCUCUAGACCUACAGAAUGAGUCUCAGGUCAGGUGUGGGCGUUCUCCUGGGAUGAUCUCCAAUAAGUAGUGUUAAGCACAGAACAAAAGCAACAUGCUGAUCAAUGGCAGCAGCAGAGGGUCUGAGCAUCUCGGACCCUCUGAAGCUUGAGGGUCACGAUGACAAGCCUGUCCGCCCACUGCAUAGGCCCUCUUGGCUCUGACCUUUCAUUGCUGUCUCUGAUCUUGUUUCAAGCCCCUCGCCUACUUCCAGAGCCCGUGGAAGUGGAGAAGUUGAUGGAAGAUGUUGGCCCCACAUUCCUGCGUGGUGCCGAUUCACACUCCUGUGUGGGGCGGAGAACACCAGCUCGCUCUACGGUAUCAAACACCUCUCCAGCUGUGCACAGCCUUUUGGCUCCUUGGCUCUUGGCCAGGAGAUGGAACCUGACAUACCUCAGGAAGCACGGCCUCUGGAAGGUGCCCCUCUGCAGCAGUGAGGGUUCCUAGGACCUCACUGCAGAAGAUGCUGAAGCAUGUGAGAACUGCUGUACCCCGCCAAACGGAGGGGCAGGAGGAAAAGGCCACUGAGAUUCUUUCAAGUCCAGAUCAACGGGUAUGAGUCUUUCUUCCGAAGCUGAUGAACGACACAAACGGUGGAGGAACCACUUCAGAUAUUUUUUAAGUCACCAUGAAGAAGUAUGAAUAUUUUUAUAGGCUUAUGCUUUACAAAUUGAAUUAACAAUCAUUAUCCCACUGAUUCUGCAAAGUACAGAUGAGAGGCAAAGAAAGACAAGGCAAAUAAAACUGGCCAGGGUAGUUUUUCCUCCAGAGUUUGUCGCUUCCCAUUCUAUCCAUCCUCCUCUUUUUCCUCUCUUUGCUAACUGCUGAUGCAACUACCUUUACUUUGGCCCCGUUUAUAUUCGGAAGACUUUUACUAAGAUUACUUUGCGAAGAAACAUAGGAUUCUUGUUUUGGAACCUGCCAUUAAGUGCAAAGUCCAAGAUAAACCAGAGCAGUGAAUUGAAAGUUCUAAAUCCGCUUAAAAGCUUCUGUGUUCCACAAUUCACUGCAGAUUUAAAAAAAGAAACCUGGCUACUAAAUCACUAUGCUUAGAGCCAGACAAGCAAGAUCACAACACACUACAAUAUCUUGGUAGAAUGACUUAUUAAGUGCACUUAAGUGUACACUAAAAUGCAAAGGAAAGUUAACACAGCAGGUUGAACCCAGUGCUUCCUAACCAUCCCAUCUCUUUCUUCAUGUUGAGCUUCUUCGCCAGUAUGGGCAAGUACCACUAUCUUCAUUUCCAGAUGUGUUCAGAUAAGCAUAAAUCUCUGCUAGGAACACAAAUAAUGCCAGCAUCAACUAUCAGGAAGGAACCAGAGUGUCCUAACUUCUUAGGUAGAGAGCCAUUUCCUGCAACUUCUAAUUUCAC